AUUUGAUCGGAUUUUUAUAAAACACUACACCAGCAAAAUGUCGGCAUUGUUGGAAAAUGCUGUGAUUUUUCGUGAAGUUCAACCCUCGAACUCUGCACAGAAACUGUACGGAAAAUAUAGUUAAAUUUUAUUUAACAGUCGGAGCAUUUUCCUACACCAGAGACUUUAUUAAUAUUACAGUCAAUUUCAGCUGACUUUUCAUCGUAAGAUUCCGAACUUCGUUCCGAACUUCGCAAAUUCGUUGCCAAGUUCAAAAGUUCAUAAUGAAAUUCACAAACAGGUUUGUAAACAAAGCCUCUGAUUGGCUAUUAAAUCAAACCAGCCAAUCAAAUGCCCAGUUUACAAACCUGUUUGUGAAUUUCAUUAUGAACUUUUGAACUUGGCAACAAAUUUGCGAAGUUUGGAACGAAGUUCGGAAUCUUACGAUGAAAAGUCAGCUGAAAUUGACUGUAAAGAUGCGGCAUGUACAGUCCAAUCUGUGCAUGUGCACACAGGAGUCCCCUUUUUAUUUACAAACAGUUUAGUUAGGUUUUUAUUUCAUUUUAUGUUCUUGCAAAGC